rnacentral:rRNA from 1 species
CAUGCAAGUCGAGGGGAAACGGCAUUAAGUGCUUGCACUUUUUGGACGUCGACCGGCGCACGGGUGAGUAACGCGUAUCCAACCUGCCCCUUACCAGGGAAUAACCCGUUGAAAGACGGACUAAUGCCCUAUGCAGUCCUUUGACGGCAUCAGAUUAGGACUAAAGAUUCAUCGGUAUGGGAUGGGGAUGCGUCUGAUUAGCUUGUUGGCGGGGUAACGGCCCACCAAGGCAUCGAUCAGUAGGGGUUCUGAGAGGAAGGUCCCCCACAUAGGAACUGAGACACGGUCCUAACUCCUACGGGAGGCAGCAGUGAGGAAUAUUGGUCAAUGGGCGCUAGCCUGAACCAGCCAAGUAGCGUGCAGGAUGACGGCCCUAUGGGUUGUAAACUGCUUUUAUGCGGGGAUAAAGUCACCCACGUGUGGGUGUUUGCAGGUACCGCAUGAAUAAGGACCGGCUAAUUCCGUGCCAGCAGCCGCGGUAAUACGGAAGGUCCGGGCGUUAUCCGGAUUUAUUGGGUUUAAAGGGAGUGUAGGCGGCCUGUUAAGCGUGUUGUGAAAUGUAGAUGCUCAACAUCUGAACUGCAGCGCGAACUGGCUGGCUUGAGUACACGCAACGUGGGCGGAAUUCAUGGUGUAGCGGUGAAAUGCUUAGAUAUCAUGAGGAACUCCUAUUGCGAAGGCAGCUCACGGGAGUGUCACUGACGCUUAAGCUCGAAGGUGCGGGUAUCAAACAGGAUUAGAUACCCUGGUAGUCCGCACGGUAAACGAUGGAUGCCCGCUGUUGGCGCUUUGCGUCAGCGGCUAAGCGAAAGCAUUAAGCAUCCCACCUGGGGAGUACGCCGGCAACGGUGAAACUCAAAGGAAUUGACGGGGGCCCGCACAAGCGGAGGAA